rnacentral:tRNA from 1 species
GGACAUACUGGACAGCCAAGACCCGCAUAAACAGGGCUUCCGCGUAUUCCGUACCGGACUCGAAAUCCGGUUUACGUCUAGGCGUAACGUGAGUUCGAAUCUCACCCUGUCCGCCA